ACCCUUUUACCAAACCGCUUACUGGUCCAGCCCACGCCACUGAGCUCUUGCUGCGUGCCAGGCACUGCACCACCGCUGUGAACAAGGUAGUUUCCUUUGCAAAGGUGGGGUUGGGCUGCAGAAAAAAGACCCAGGUAAGUAAAAAGGGAUAAUUUCAGAAUACGGCAAAGGGCUCCAGAACAACAGAACCAGGCAUUCUAGAAUGUACGCUGCAUCGGCGGAGAAGCAGAGGCCUGGACCGAGACCGGGCACGACCCUGCGGCUGGAACGAGGAAUGAUGCCAGGUGCACAUCACUCGCACCUGCUGCAGGACCGGCUCCAGGCACAGAAGCCCCGUGACUCUGGCCGUGCACGCAGCAGCUCAGACCCGGAAGACCUGAAGCUGGACCAUGUCUGGGUUUCCACCUCCCUUUUGCAGAUGUGCCUUGGUAGCUUUCCGAAUGACCUUGAGCACAGUCCGUGGCUGGUCAAUGGUUUACCGAUUGGAACCACACUGGUGUGUUAGGUCACGCCGGCCAUGUCCCUCGGGGAAAACAGGGUUUCAAGUUUCUGAACAGAGGCACUUAGGUGUUUUGCCUUUUCUCACGAUGAAACCUCCCUGCGCGGGCUCUGGUGUUUCCUCCAGUGACUAUAGUACCUUAGGGGAGGGAAGGAAACUCUACAGCUGCCAAAACAGAUGAAUACAUAAAACUGUGAGGUGUUCAUUGUUCCAAAAUAAAAUAUGCAACCAAAGCAAAAUGUGUAAGAGGAAAUUUUAAGAUGGAUAGGUAAUUUGUGUUUCCUCAACCUGAGUGUUAUGAUUGUAAGAAGUCAUGCUUUUAUGCAGGUGCUCACACGUUUUGGGGGCCUCUCAUACAUGUCCAUCGACCUGCCAGAUGAUAAGAGCAACACGAUAAGCAAAAAUUCAAUACGGGUGAAAAAUAGCACGAUGCGUGUCUUCAUGAAGCUCACAGUCUGAUGGAGAAGAAAGCCAGCAUUUGCCAAAGAAUCUCGCAGGGAAACGCCACCUUCUAACUGUGACGAGCAGCGCGGAGCAGAGCGCCAGGCCGGUGAUGGUCUGUUGGAGGGGGUCGGCCUCACCCGAGACGGGGCGCUCGAGGAAGUGACGGACGGACUAAAACCCGAUGGCCGAGCUCGGCUGGUUGUGGCUUCCCUGGGGUCCAGCAUCUCCGGACUCUUCCGGACUUCGGAUUCAGCUAAUAGCUGCCGUUACAUCAUCCUCCACUGAGUCUAUUAGAACCCUGGGGCCUCACUUUGGGGCUCAAUUUUCCCAGUUUCUCCCCCACCCCUCCCCACGGGCCUCUUCAGCAGAUCACUCUUGGCAGCCUCGAAGAAAGAGAAAUAAAAACCAGAACCCACCUAGUUCCCCGAAUUCCCCUAAAACUACGACGAACCAUUCCUAUAGAUCUUUGCAACAGAUCUUUCCCCUCCGACUGCAUGCGCGCUUAGUGCUUUGUAAAAAUGGUACUCAGUCUUUUUCAUUCAAAGGAACGCAGACAACCUUAUUUCCGAUUACACAGAUAAUGCAUGUCUAUGCAGAAUGUCCAAGCCAAACAGAGAGUCAAAAAGGGGAAAUUAAAAUCACUUAAAAACUUGCAA